AGCAGCCGCGGUAAUUCCAGCUCCAAUAGCGUAUAUUAAAGUUGUUGCAGUUAAAAAGCUCGUAGUUGAACUUCGGAAUUUGCCCAUUGGUCAGGCUUAACUGUCUGAACUGGUGUGACGAGUUCCUACCUUCUGAGGAAUCUUCAUGCCAUUCAGUUGGUGUGGGGGGAAAUCAGGACUGUUACUUUGAAAAAAUUAGAGUGUUUAAAGCAGGCAUCCGUCUGAAUACAUUAGCAUGGAAUAAUAAAAUAGGACGGUUUGGUUCUAUUUUGUUGGUUUCUAGGAUCACCGUAAUGAUUAAUAGGGAUAGUUGGGGGCAUUAGUAUUCAAUUGUCAGAGGUGAAAUUCUUGGAUUUAUUGAAGACUAACUACUGCGAAAGCAUUUGCCAAGGAUGUUUUCAUUAAUCAAGAACGAAAGUUAGGGGAUCGAAGACGAUCAGAUACCGUCGUAGUCUUAACCAUAAACUAUGCCGACUAGGGAUCGGACGAAGUUAAUUUUUAAAUGACUCGUUCGGCACCU
rnacentral:rRNA from 1 species